UUACGGCCAUAUCAUUUUGUUACACCGGUUUUCCUACGAUCACCGAAGUUAAGCAACGUCGAGUUUCCUCAGUACAUAGAUGGGUGACCGCUUGGGAAUAGUAGAUGCUGUA